rnacentral:rRNA from 1 species
GGGGCAGUGCGGCGUGCUAUACAUGCAGUCGAGCGGACAGAUGGGAGCUUGCUCCCUGAUGUUAGCGGCGGACGGGUGAGUAACACGUGGGUAACCUGCCUGUAAGACUGGGAUAACUCCGGGAAACCGGGGCUAAUACCGGAUGCUUGUUUGAACCGCAUGGUUCAGACAUAAAAGGUGGCUUCGGCUACCACUUACAGAUGGACCCGCGGCGCAUUAGCUAGUUGGUGAGGUAACGGCUCACCAAGGCAACGAUGCGUAGCCGACCUGAGAGGGUGAUCGGCCACACUGGGACUGAGACACGGCCCAGACUCCUACGGGAGGCAGCAGUAGGGAAUCUUCCGCAAUGGACGAAAGUCUGACGGAGCAACGCCGCGUGAGUGAUGAAGGUUUUCGGAUCGUAAAGCUCUGUUGUUAGGGAAGAACAAGUGCCGUUCAAAUAGGGCGGCACCUUGACGGUACCUAACCAGAAAGCCACGGCUAACUACGUGCCAGCAGCCGCGGUAAUACGUAGGUGGCAAGCGUUGUCCGGAAUUAUUGGGCGUAAAGGGCUCGCAGGCGGUUUCUUAAGUCUGAUGUGAAAGCCCCCGGCUCAACCGGGGAGGGUCAUUGGAAACUGGGGAACUUGAGUGCAGAAGAGGAGAGUGGAAUUCCACGUGUAGCGGUGAAAUGCGUAGAGAUGUGGAGGAACACCAGUGGCGAAGGCGACUCUCUGGUCUGUAACUGACGCUGAGGAGCGAAAGCGUGGGGAGCGAACAGGAUUAGAUACCCUGGUAGUCCACGCCGUAAACGAUGAGUGCUAAGUGUUAGGGGGUUUCCGCCCCUUAGUGCUGCAGCUAACGCAUUAAGCACUCCGCCUGGGGAGUACGGUCGCAAGACUGAAACUCAAAGGAAUUGACGGGGGCCCGCACAAGCGGUGGAGCAUGUGGUUUAAUUCGAAGCAACGCGAAGAACCUUACCAGGUCUUGACAUCCUCUGACAAUCCUAGAGAUAGGACGUCCCCUUCGGGGGCAGAGUGACAGGUGGUGCAUGGUUGUCGUCAGCUCGUGUCGUGAAAUGUUGGGUUAAGUCCCGCAACGAGCGCAACCCUUGAUCUUAGUUGCCAGCAUUCAGUUGGGCACUCUAAGGUGACUGCCGGUGACAAACCGGAGGAAGGUGGGGAUG